rnacentral:rRNA from 1 species
ACUCCUACGGGAGGCAGCAGUGGGGAAUAUUGCACAAUGGGGGAAACCCUGAUGCAGCCAUGCCGCGUGUGUGAAGAAGGCCUUCGGGUUGUAAAGCACUUUCAGUAGGGAGGAAGGUAGUGUAGUUAACACCUGCAUUAUUUGACGUUACCUACAGAAGAAGCACCGGCUAACUCCGUGCCAGCAGCCGCGGUAAUACGGAGGGUGCGAGCGUUAAUCGGAAUUACUGGGCGUAAAGCGCAUGCAGGCGGCCUGUUAAGUCAGAUGUGAAAGCCCGGGGCUUAACCUCGGAAUUGCAUUUGAAACUGGCAGGCUAGAGUCUUGUAGAGGGGGGUAGAAUUUCAGGUGUAGCGGUGAAAUGCGUAGAGAUCUGAAGGAAUACCAGUAGGCGAAGGCGGCCCCCUGGACAGAUACUGACACUCAGAUGCGAAAGCGUGGGGAGCAAACAGGAUUAGAUACCCUGGUAGGAUAGC